rnacentral:lncRNA from 1 species
GGACUACUUUAAUAUUAUCUGGAUUGAUUAGUUAGCACAAGUGUCAGCAUAACUAAGCAAAUAAGAAUAUGGUACAUUUUUGUAGUACGCACACAACUCAAAUUUUACACUUCUUAUAUGGUAGUCCACAUAACUAAAAUUACUUUUCAAGAAGAAUGUGUCCAUAGUGCAUGUUAACCCCACUACCACUAUCAUUUUCUAUGUU